UACGUAGGGGGCGAGCGUUGUCCGGAUUUACUGGGCGUAAAGCGUCCGUAGGUGGUUGGUUUAGUCUGAUGUGAAAGCUCCCGGCUCAACUGGGAGAGGUCAUUGGAUACUGGCCGACUUGAGGAGUACAGAGGGAGACGGAAUUCCCGGAGUAGUGGUGAUAUGCGUAGAGACCGGGAGGAACACCGGUGGCGAAGGCGGUCUCCUGGGUACUUCCUGACACUGAGGGACGAAAGCGUGGGGAGCGAACCGGAUUAGAUACCCGGGUAGUCCACGCGGUAAACGAUGGGUACUCGGUGUGGGGGGUAUCGACCCCCUCCGCGCCCCAGCUAACGCGAUAAGUACCCCGCCUGGGGAGUACGGCCGCAAGGCUA
rnacentral:rRNA from 1 species